rnacentral:rRNA from 1 species
UACGUAGGGUGCAAGCGUUAAUCGGAAUUACUGGGCGUAAAGCGUGCGCAGGCGGUUUUGUAAGUCUGACGUGAAACCCCCGGGCUCAACCUGGGAAUUGCGUUGGAGACUGCAAGGCUAGAAUCUGGCAGAGGGGGGUAGAAUUCCACGUGUAGCAGUGAAAUGCGUAGAGAUGUGGAGGAACACCGAUGGCGAAGGCAGCCCCCUGGGUCAAGAUUGACGCUCAUGCACGAAAGCGUGGGGAGCAAACAGG